rnacentral:tRNA from 1 species
UAGCGGGUGGCGGAAUUGGUAGACGCGCUAGACAAAAAACCUUGGUCGCAACUUGUCUGCAAAGGCUGAAGAUUCGAGGAUUAUCGGGAUCUAUUGACUGAAUAAGUCUUGCAGGUUCAAGUCCUGCCCUGCUAC